GGCCACCUUGCCAAAGGAUCGUUGUUUAUGUUAUUUGUGCUUUUUAAGAAUAUUUUUUUAAUUCGGAUACUUUUAUAAUAGCUUUAAUAGUAUUAUUAACAUAGUGCAUAAAAUGGUGUCCUGUUUUUAACGCAGUUGGAGUAGCAGAAACAAAUGUAGAUAAAAAAAUCUGCAGGAAUAACAAAGGUUAGUAUGCAAAUAUGUGAACAAAGGCAUGCCCUGUAUUUCAGAUAAUAAAUUAAUACUAUUAAUACCCUAAUAAUACUAUUCAUAAAAAAUCUUUUAAGUAACGUAGAUAUAACAAAGUGAAUAAAAGGCAUAAAUCAGAAGAAUUAUUAUUUUAUUUUAUAAGUUAAUAAUUGGUCAUAUCCAUUUAUUAUUUUAAUAAUAAUUGUGAAUAAGCCACAAACUUCGCUUAUUCCUAACUAAAAUAGUAAAUAGAGAUAGGUAAUAACAAAAGGAUUUGUAAAACUAAAAUAAUUCUUUUUGCGUUUUUGCUAGUGUAUGCGUUUAUAAAUAGGAUGGUAGACCACACACUAUAAUAUGCAGUACCAACUAAUGAAUACACAGAAUAUUAUAGUCGAUUUGCUAAACUCAGUCUCAGUACUAAUUACUGUAAUUUUGGCAAAAUUGGCCAAAAACAAAAAAAAAUACCUACUAAAAUCACUAGCCAGUUGUGUCAGAGUUUGGGGAACCGACUAUACUAAUAAACAAUUUCUAAGCUGUUUUAUAAUAUUUUGUGAGUCCAUUAAUCAUAUUUUUUAUUUAAAACUAAAAUUUGUUAAUAAUGCCUAGUAAUGCAUAUAUUUUGUAUUUUUAGCUUUCCAGAAGAUCCUGCGAAGAAGACAAGAAAGUAUAGAUUAGAUUUGUUAAUAGAGGAGUAUGUUCAAAACACUUUUUAGAAAAAGAUAUUGACAGAACUUCACUUUCAUCUGGUCGUUUGAGAGACUGUGCUGUUCCAAUAGCUUAUGCCACACAGAAUCAGCUGAGAGAAGUGGUCUACAAAAAACCAGAAAGGAAACGGAAUAUGUGGCUACGAAAAGCAAAAGAAAGGUUUACAAAGCAAAUGUGACACAUUUUUUUAUAAUAUUUAGGAAUGUCAGUAAAUUACAUUAAAAAAUGUAUGUAAAGAUUUUUUGCAAUAAAAAUGUUUAUAUUUA
rnacentral:lncRNA from 1 species